AUCUCCGCCUCCUUCCUCAACCUCAUCUCCACUUUCACUUCUCUUGCUAAACCCGAUCUCAUUUCUCACAGAGAUUUAACUCUCUUCUCCUCUCUGUAAUCAACCGCAAAACCGCUGUUGCUUCAUUUCUCUCUCUGGUAACACCAACAAUACCAGAUCCAUCUUCUAUAGCCGAGUCUUGUUGCACCUGAUUUCGUUUCAUGCCCUAACCAUCGCAGUCUUGUAUCACACUCCCAUCCAUCCAAAACUCUUGAUUCUGAUCCUGCAAAUCACUACGCCUUCGUCAAUCAUCCACCAAUAAUCAAGGAAUCAACAUGUUCGUUUCAAUUGCCGAUUCAUUUUAGUUUCUGUAGUUUUGAUUUUCUGAAAGAAAAGAAGAAGUUGCGAUGAUGGUUAAACAACUCUUUAAUCUGAUUAACAAAUGAUUCUUUGCUUUUAUCUUCAUUGUAUCUUGAUCUAUGGAUAUUAGAUCUUCUUUGGUUGUUGAUUUUACGGUGCAAUGACGAUUGUUUGGAAAACCCAUCUCAUUAUGAGAAAGCAAAUCCAUUUUAUAUCUGAGCACCCAAAAAAUUUCUUUCAAUUUAUUUUUCAAAGUUUAUUUAGGGCUUUUCUUAUUCGAUGCAUUUAGGGAUUUUGGUUCUUAUCAGAUUCUGAAAAUUUUGCAUUUUUUUUUACUGCAAUCCGUUACCCUAGGUUUGAUUGGGUUCGAUGUUGAUGUUAAAAACAUAAAAUUUGGUUAUUGCAGGUAAAGACUAGUAAAUUAAAUCUUUAUGAUUCUUUAGAUAUAUUUUGAUUAUGGUUAUUUGACAGAUUUGAACUCUAAUGAUUGUUGAAGAGUUGAGAUUUGUGGUUAUUCGACUGAGUUUAUGUUUUUCCUUAAUUUUUUCAUGUUCAAUUUUUGUUGGAUGUUGAAUUAAUAGCUUACUGAGUUUCCUUUUGGGUUUGAUUCAUAUUGUUCUUCAUUUAGUUUUGUUUGUUCAUCUGAAAUUGGCAAAGAGCCUUAAUCAAUUUUUCAGAAAUUAGUAAAUCAGUAGUCUGCAAUGAUCGUAGUAAUAGUGGUGUUCAGCGAUUUGUUGUAAUGAACAUAUCAAAUUUACGUCUCAGACAAGAGUGUUUGAAGGGUACCUUUAAAUUAGGUACCAAAGUUAUGGGUUUUAUUGAUUGGUUCUUUAUGUUGUUAUGGUUGUCAUAGUUUUUCAUUUUUCCAAUGGGUCUAGACUUUUGUUUGUUUGGAAUCAAAAAAUCUGAUUAGGUUUGCUCCACUAAUCUAAGCUUUGAAAAAGGAACAAAAGUAUCAGGACCAAUUUUUGGAGGAAGGAAUUAGAUCCGGAACGAGAACUCUAUUGACCUCAAAAUCAGAGCUAAAAUCUAAAAGAACAGAUUGAAUGAUAUUAAGUUGCAGAAUCGAUCCGUGUUUUUAAGCUUGUCCAGUGAUAUUUCAAAGAACUCUAAUCUUCUCAAAGUUGAAGUUGAAAUGGAUGUAUCAAUCUUGUUCCUCUUCUAAUUUCUUUUACCAAAUAAACGGGAUUUUAUUUUUUCUAUCUUUGUCAAGCUGAUUGUAAAUUUGUUGAUUAAUAAAUGAUAUUGUAAUUGAUUAAUAAAAUAAAUUAAUUUGCAUUUAAUUUGGUUAUCA